rnacentral:rRNA from 1 species
AUGGCGGAGUUAGCGACCAGUGUUGCAGCUGGGGUGAUAUGCUCCCUACUUGAGAAGCUUGGUUCUCUCGCAGCGGCAGAGUAUGCAAUGUUCAGCAGCGACCGCAGAGAGGUAGAACUACUGGUGGAUGAGCUCAGUUCUAUGAAUGCUGUUCUUGAGAAGUUGGCAUACAUAGAGAACAUUGAUCCAUUAACCAAGCAAUGGAGGGACCAGGUCAGGGAGCUGACCUACGAUACUGAGGAUUCUAUCGUCAGCUCCAUGCUCCAGGAUCGCCAAGAUGGAGCUACGGAUUGGUUCAUUUGGAAGAUUUUUCCGUUUUUCAAAGAUCUCAGAGAGGGCUAUAGUUUAUCCAAACAGAUCAAUCAAAUCAAGGCCUCUGUAAUAGAGCUAAGCGCUCGACGAGAGCGGCUCAGAGUUGAUGAAGUCAUCUCUACAUCUUCUCAUGUGUCCAUUGAUCCUCGACUGCAUGUGCUCUAUAAGGAUGCUGCCGGUCUUGUUGGAAUUGAUGGACAGAAGGAUAAGCUCAUGGAAAUGCUAAUGGGUGAUGAUCAGCACUUAAAGGUAGUGUCAGUUGUGGGAUUUGGAGGUUUAGGCAAGACUACACUUGCCAACUCAGUAUACCAUGCUUUACCUACACUACAACACCAUGAACACAGAUUUGACUGCCAAGCAUUUGUAUCGGUCUCCCAGAGACCUGAUAUCAAUGGGGUUCUUUGUAGUUUGCUCAGAAUGCUUCGAGUGGAUACAACAUCGUCGGAUAAUAGUAAUGUUCAACUCCUUAUCAUCAUGAUCAACCAACAUCUGCAACAUAAAAGGUACCUUAUUGUAAUUGAUGAUUUGUGGAAUGAAUCGGACUGGUAUACUAUCAGAUGUGCUUUCCCAGAGAACAACUCCGGAAGUUUUUUGGCCAGUAAGAAGACACCAGAACGAAAGGAGCACUGGGACAGGGUGCAGGGUUCUUUGGGCACCAUCGAUAGAGAGUUCGAACCAAUGAAACAGAUGUCACAAAUCUUAAACCUGAGCUACAUGCAUCUUCCUCAUCAUUUGAGGGCAUGCUUCCUUCAUCUUGGUAUAUAUCCAGAGGAUCGGGAAAUCAUGACGGAUGAUUUGGUGAAGCAAUGGCUUGCUGAAGAUUUUGUGCCUUGCAGCCCACAUAGGCAAGAUCGAGAGGACGUUGCAAGGGACUAUUUCAACGAGUUAGUCAACAGGAGCAUCCUCCAACCUGUAGAUAUAGACUACAAGGAUGAGGUGAUGUCAUGUCGAUUACAUGACAUGAUGCUCGAGUUCAUCUUGGACAAAUCAGCGGAUGAGAAUUUCAUAACUGUAAUGGAUAAAUUUGGAGUCCGGAGUGGAGGCACCAGUAAGAUCCGUCGGCUCUCUUUGCAAUCUGACUACGAGAAUCAUGCCUUGGUACCAGGAGCAAUUAUUCUGACACAAGUUCGGUCGCUUGCAACCUUUGGUGCUUGUGUUGACGGAGCGUUCUCGAGGCUAAAGUUUAUUCGAGUCCUAGUGGUUGACCAAGGUAGUAUGACUGAGGACGACAUGGCUGGAGUUUGCCUGCUGCUCCAUUUGAGAUACCUGAAGAUUAUUUCUUAUACAAUCCAUGGGUAUGAUCUAGUAGUACCUCCUGAAAUUCUGAAUCUAUGGUCUCUGGAAACGCUGGAUCUAAGAGAUUUCGAUGGCAUACCUACCCUUCCAGAAGAAAUAGCUCAUUUGUCCAGCUUGCGGCAUCUGCUUCUCCCAUCAAAUGUAGUCUUGCCUGAUGACAUAGGCCGUAUGAAGUCACUGCAUACAAUACGCAGUUUUGAUAUGUGCAAGAAUUCCGUAGCCUGUAUAAACGGCCUCGGGGAGCUGACCAAUCUCAGAGAUCUUCAACUCCGUUUUGAUGACACUUUGUACGACUCUGACAAGGGCAACAAUGUAGCUCUAUGCUCUGCUCUCCAAAAGCUUGCUGGUGGAAACCUUAAACAUCUAGCAAUCGUUUCGGAAGAUCCAUGCGGCAACCAAUCUCUACCAAGGCGUCAUCACCUGGAUUGUCUGCAUUCCUUACCAGGAAAUCUAGAGACACUACAUCUACAAGAUCGCAUGCCUACUAUUCCAAACUGGAUUGGUCAACUCGGUAAUCUGUAUGACAUAAAUCUUGAAGGAAUCGAGAGGUUGAACCCGCAAGGUAUUGAUAUCCUUGCAAAGUUGCCCGCCCUUCUCUACCUGAAGAUGUAUAUCUCGAUAUGCAUCGCUGAAACAAUUGCCAUCCGUGGUGGGAGUGGGAGUGGGGCCGCUUUCCCAUCACUCAAGUAUUUCCACCUCAUUUGCUCACCGCCAUGGGUGGCCUUUGAGCAAGGGGCAAUGCCCAAGCUCCAGAGACUCGAUAUAGAAUUUGAGGCGGACAGAUGGGAGGAACGUGGAAGAGCGCCUGCAGGCAUCCACAACCUGGGUGCCUUGCAGGUACUCUUGGUACAACUGAUGAACGGCGGUGAGGAGUCUGACAAGGAAGCUGCUAAAUCUGCGCUGCGUGCUGCAAUCGACGGCCAUCCACGUGGCCCUCGCAUUGACGUCAGCCAAGGAUCUUACUAUCAUAUUUAUACGGAGGAGGAAUAUAAUACAGUUUUCAAAAUGGACGAUGAUAUGGACAUCUCCGACUGA